AAUGGCUGGCAGCAACAGACCGGCUCACUGGAAACAGGCUGGAGGUUUUAAAUUAGAAAACUGCACUGUAAAGAAUUGUAUUUGACCAAGUGAGUGACGGCCCUUCCAUCACUGAUGUCAUCUCCGCUGUCCUGCUAGACCCGCCCCUUCCUGCUAUCUGUCUUCAUAACCUGGAAAACCAACUGCCUGCUUAAGUUCUAUUUUGGACCUGUGUCUGCAAAGACAUUACUGUAAUUAAUUGAGUAAUUUAUGUUCCUGAAACCUUUCAUAUUAUACAGAGUCACCAAG